rnacentral:lncRNA from 1 species
UAAUUUCUCAAAUAAUUCCUUUUAGCGGGAUCUAUUUUUAACUUGGGCUGAGAAGCUCAUGUUUUCCAUGUUAAAUUUAAGCAGUCCUAAACCAGAGGAGGAGCCUUGCAACUAAAACCUGCUCCUCUGAACCCCAUCACAUACUGGGGUAGCUAUUGAACAACACCUAGGAAUGGCACCGCCUUUCUGCAGGUCCUGACUCUGACUCUAAACCAACUGCACACAGAAAGCUGGAGUGCAGAGAGCAGGGAGCUCUGGGCACUGGGGUUUUGCCCUCCACCGUCGCGUGCAGUGCGCUGGCUGUCACCUGCCUCUCCGGGCACAGAUGUCCCCACACGAUCCCAUGGGUGCCUUCAAGAGCUGUGACAGCAGAUGCUGCCCCAAGCCUGUCCCACUCCCUCUGCCUCCUUGUCUAUCAUGGUUGGCGACAGAAGAUGUGCUGCUGUCCCUUGCAUCAAGAGAGUGUGAUCUUUGGACUUGCCCCAUCUGUGUGUCUGGGAACGUGUCAGAAGCCCUGAGGAUCUGUGCACACGCUAACCACAUUGACGUCUGGAAACAUCAGUCUAGAUAUUUACAUAACUGGAAUUAGAGACUGUGCUGCA